rnacentral:rRNA from 1 species
CAGCCGCCGCGGUAAUACGAAGGUCCCAAGCGUUGUUCGGAAUCACUGGGCGUAAAGGGAGCGUAGGCGGCGUGGUAAGUCAGAUGUGAAAUCCCGGGGCUCAACCCCGGAACUGCAUCCGAUACUGCCAUGCUUGAGGGUUGGAGAGGUAGCUGGAAUUCUUGGUGUAGCAGUGAAAUGCGUGGAUAUCAAGAGGAACACUCGUGGCGAAGGCGAGCUACUGGACAACAUCUGACGCUGAGGCUCGAAGGCCAGGGUAGCGAAAGGGAUUAGAUACCCCAGUAGUCCCUGUCUCUUAUAC